rnacentral:lncRNA from 1 species
GGGUGGUAAAAGUAGUAUCCAUUAGUUUCUUUAGGAUAUCCUACAAACCUACACUUGUCUGAUCUAGCACCAAGCUUACGUCCAAAAAUAUUUGUAACAUAAGCAAGAUAGCCCUAAAUCAUAAGAUGUUUAACAUUAGGCUUUCUUCCCUUUCAUAUUUCAUAUGGAGUGCUUGCAAUAGACUUUGAAGGUACCUUGUUUAAAAAUAUGCAGCAGUCUCUAGGGUAUAUCCGUAAAAUAAUAUUGGAAGAUCAGUGAAGCACAUCAUGGACCGUACUAUAUCCAUCAA